rnacentral:rRNA from 1 species
AUACGUAGGGAGCCAGCGUUGUCCGGAUUUACUGGGCGUAAAGAGCGCGUAGGCGGUUUAGUAAGCGGAGGGUGAAAUACCGGGGCUCAACUCCGGUGCUGCUUUCCGAACUGCUAGACUAGAGUACGGGAGAGGACAGUGGAAUUCCUGGUGUAGCGGUGGAAUGCGUAAAUAUCAGGAGGAACACCCGUGGCGAAGGCUGCUGUCUGGAACGUUACUGACGCUGAGGCGCGAAAGCUAGGGGAGCGAACGGGAUUAGAUACCCCGGUAGUCCUAGCUGUAAACGAUGGACACUAGGUGUUGGAGGCAUCGACCCCUUCAGUGCUGUUCUGCUAACGCGUUAAGUGUCCCGCCUGGGGAGUACGGCCGCAAGGUUGAA